rnacentral:rRNA from 1 species
UACGUAGGGUGCGAGCGUUGUCCGGAAUUAUUGGGCGUAAAGAGCUUGUAGGCGGUUUGUCGCGUCUGCCGGGAAAUUUCGAGGCUCAACCUCGAACUUGCGGUGGGUACGGGCAGACUAGAGUGUGGUAGGGGAGACUGGAAUUCCUGGUGUAGCGGUGAAAUGCGCAGAUAUCAGGAGGAACACCGAUGGCGAAGGCAGGUCUCUGGGCCACUACUGACGCUGAGAAGCGAAAGCAUGGGGAGCGAACAGG